GACGAACGCUGGCGGCGUGCUUAACACAUGCAAGUCGAACGGUAAGGCCCUUCGGGGGUACACGAGUGGCGAACGGGUGAGUAACACGUGGGUGAUCUGCCCUGCACUUCGGGAUAAGCCUGGGAAACUGGGUCUAAUACCGGAUAGGACCACUGCCUGCAUGGGUGGUGGUGGAAAGCUUUUGCGGUGUGGGAUGGGCCCGCGGCCUAUCAGCUUGUUGGUGGGGUGAUGGCCUACCAAGGCGACGACGGGUAGCCGGCCUGAGAGGGUGACCGGCCACACUGGGACUGAGAUACGGCCCAGACUCCUACGGGAGGCAGCAGUGGGGAAUAUUGCACAAUGGACGCAAGCCUGAUGCAGCGACGCCGCGUGAGGGAUGACGGCCUUCGGGUUGUAAACCUCUUUCAGCACCGACGAAGCGCAAGUGACGGUAGGUGCAGAAGAAGGACCGGCCAACUACGUGCCAGCAGCCGCCGUAA
rnacentral:rRNA from 1 species